ACAAUCUUUAGGACAGCUAGACAGACAGGUAGCAGAUGUAUGUGCUAAAAUACAGUGGACCAGAUCCUCAGCUGGAGUACACUGAUGUAGGUCUGUUGAUGUCAAUCGACCUCUCUUGAUUCACAUUAGCUGAGAAGCUGAUCCGAUAAAUACUCCCAUAGCAACUCCCUUCUGAAGUAAGGAAGUGCCAUUGUACAGAUGAGACACACAGAAGCUAUGAUGCUUGGCCAAGAAGCGUGUGGGGAGCUGGGACUAAAGUCAGGCAUUUGGCAUCACCAACACAAGUCUAAGUUGCUGUCCACUGCCUCUUCAUUCUCUGGGCCUGAUCCUCAACUUCACUGGGCUUUGGCUCAGGCUCCAGUUGGGUGAUUUUCUGCCAGCUGUAUUAACCUCCUCCUUUUUUUCUAAAUUGAAGUGAAUGCAUUAUUUUUUACCAAUAUUUCUACUCUUUCUAGGUCCCUUUCUUUUAUUUCUCAGUCCUUACAGUUAUGCACAACUCCUCCCAGCUAGGAAGCAUCGGCCAGUUUUAUUAAUGAGCUGCAUGCGCCUUUCACUAGAUCAUUAAUGAAAAUAUAAGAUGAGACCUGACCAAAGAUCCUUGCAAAACUCCACUGAGAUGCCUCCCACAAACAUAAUACUUGGCUUACUGUCCUUUAGCCGGUUUUCAAUCCACAGGACAGUGUGGGUAUUAGGUGACAACAAGAUGUCCCAGCCAAGACCAGGGCCUUUUCUGAUGGCACACAAACAUUAUUAAUUAAUUAAUCAUUAAUUAUUAUUAGAAGUCUUAACCCUUAAAAUAUCUUAAAUAGCUGUGUGUGUAUGGAUGGGUGUAUAUAGAUACAGAUGUGUGUAUACAGGUACCAGACGUGUGGGGUGUCUGUGCGUGUGUUAAGCACUAGGAAGAUGUACAUGUGUAUCAAACUUCUUGAUGUUAAAGACUGAAGGCCUCUGUUCUUGUUCUAGGAGGAGACCUGUCCUAGUUAUUCAUAGAUAGAUAUGAAUGAGUGCACAUAAUGCGCGCGCGCGCGCACACACACACUAUCUUGUGUUUGUGUGUGUGUAUAGAAAUGUCUAGGACAGGUCUCUGCAAAAGGAAAACAAAGGCAUCUCAGUUGGAGUAACUUUCAGAGCAGGGCAUUUUUCGAAUUUCCCCCACCACACAAACCCAGGAGCGCUGCUUACAGACUCUCCUAUUAAACCCAGGCGAAAACAAACAGGCAUUAUCGGGGGGGCGUGAGUGGGGGGGAGAGAAGAAAGUUCCCAUUGAAAAAGAAGUUUCUGGCUAUGUUGGUUUUAUUGGCCUGGUGGAACCCUAUAGAUUAACAACCAGCAGCAGCAGCAACCCCCCCAAGCCCGGACCUAAGAAAUCCAGUAGAAGGUGUGACUUCAAAUGGGGUGGUAGGGAUAGGGAGAAAGGAAGCCGGAAUGUAGGCAUGUGUGUGAUGUGAUUGU